rfam:Schistocephalus solidus strain NST_G2 genome assembly, scaffold: SSLN_scaffold0011492
GAGCCCGUGGCUCAAUGGUAGAGCGUUCGACUCAAAUACCAAAGGUCGCGGGUUCG